UUGCGUAGAUGACGUGCCGUAUAGUGGGGGACAACAUCGUGAAAACGGUGCUAAUACCGCAUAUGAUAGAUGACAUUGAAAAAAUCUAAGAAAGGGGGCUUCGGCUCUCGCUAUAUGAUCGGUCUGCGUGACAUUAGCUUGAUGGUGGGGUAAUGGCCUACCAUGGCGACGAUGUCUAACUGGUCUGAGAGGAUGAUCAGUCACACUGGAACUGAGACACGGUCCAGACUCCUACGGGAGACAGCAGUAGGGAAUAUUGCACAAUGGGGGAAACCCUGAUGCAGCAAUGCCACGUGAGUGAGGAAGGUUUUCGGAUUGUAAAGCUCUGUCCUAUAGGAAGAACGGUAUUAUGGUUAAUACCCAUAGUAUUUGACGGUACUAUAGAAGAAAGCACCGGCUAACUCCGUGCCAGCAGCCGCGGUAAUACGGAGGGUGCAAGCGUUGUUCGGAUUUACUGGGCGUAAAGCGCGCGCAGGCGGAUUAGCAAGUCAGAUGUGAAAUCCCGGGGCUCAACCUCGGAACUGCGUCUGAAACUGUUAGUCUAGAAUCUCAGAGGGGGCAGGGGAAUUUCAUGUGUAGGGGUAAAAUCCGUAGAGAUGUGAAGGAACACCGGUGGCGAAGGCGCCUGCCUGGAUGAGUAUUGACGCUGAGGCGCGAAAGCGUGGGGAGCAAACAGGAUUAGAUACCCUGGUAGUCCACGCCGUAAACGAUGAGUACUAGCCUUUGGAGGUAUUGACCCCUUCAGGAGCAAAGCUAACGCAUUAAGUACUCCGCCCGGGAAGUACGGUCGCAAGACUAAAACUCAAAGGAAUUGACGGGGGCCCGCACAAGCGGUGGAUUAUGUGGUUUAAUUCGAAGCGACGCGCAGAACCUUACCUAGGCUUGAAAUCCUCAGAAUUUGACGUAAUUGUCGAAGUGCCCGCAAGGGAAUUGAGUGACAGGUGCUGCAUGGCUGUCGUCAGCUCGUGUUGUGAAAUGUUGGGUUAAGUCUCGCAACGAGCGCAACCCCUAUCUUUAGUUGCCAGCAUUAAGUUGGGCACUCUAGAGAGACUGCCCGGGUUAACCGGGAGGAAGGUGGGGAUGACGUCAAGUCCUCAUGGCCCUUAUGCCUAGGGCUACACACGUAAUACAAUGGUACAUACAGAGGGAAGCGACCCGGCGACGGUUAGCAAAUCUCAAAAAGUGUAUCUCAGUCCGGAUUGGAGUCUGCAACUCGACUCCAUGAAGUUGGAAUCGCUAGUAAUCGGAGAUCAGCACGCUCCGGUGAAUACGUUCCCGGGCCUUGUACACACCGCCCGUCACACCAUGGGAGUUGUUUUCAUUUUAAGACGUGACUCUAACUUCGGAGGAGAGCGUCUACAGUGGGAGCGAUGACUGGGGUGAAGUCGGAACAAGGUA
rnacentral:rRNA from 1 species